UCUACCUAGUAGUACGGAAUAAUUGUUGGAAACGGCAACUAAUACCGUAUACGCCCUACGGGGGAAAAAUUUAUUGCUAUUAGAUGAGCCUAUAUUAGAUUAGCUAGUUGGUGGAGUAAUAGCCUACCAAGGCAAUGAUCUAUAGCUGAUCUGAGAGGAUGAUCAGCCACACUGGAACUGAGAUACGGUCCAGACUCCUACGGGAGGCAGCAGUGGGGAAUAUUGGACAAUGGGCGAAAGCCUGAUCCAGCCAUGCCGCAUGAGUGAAGAAGGCCUUUGGGUUGUAAAGCUCUUUUAGUGAGGAAGAUAAUGACGGUACUCACAGAAGAAGUCCUGGCUAACUCCGUGCCAGCAGCCGCGGUAAUACGGAGAGGGCUAGCGUUAUUCGGAAUUAUUGGGCGUAAAGGGCGCGUAGGCUGAUUAAUAAGUUAAAAGUGAAAUCCCGAGGCUUAACCUUGGAAUUGCUUUUAAAACUAUUAAUCUAGAGAUUGAAAGAGGAUAGAGGAAUUCCUGAUGUAGAGGUAAAAUUCGUAAAUAUUAGGAGGAACACCAGUGGCGAAGGCGUCUAUCUGGUUCAAAUCUGACGCUGAAGCGCGAAGGCGUGGGGAGCAAACAGGAUUAGAUACCCUGGUAGUCCACGCUAUAAACGAUGAAUGUUAAAUAUGGGAAGUUUACUUUCUGUAUUACAGCUA
rnacentral:rRNA from 1 species